UACGUAGGGCGCAAGCGUUGUCCGGAAUUAUUGGGCGUAAAGGGCUCGUAGGCGGUUUUGUCACGUCGGGAGUGAAAACUCGGGGCUUAACCCCGAGCCUGCUUCCGAUACGGGCAGACUAGAGGUAUGCAGGGGGAGAACGGAAUUCCUGGUGUAGCGGUGAAAUGCGUAGAUAUCUGGAGGAACACCGGUGGCGAAGGCGGCGAUCCUGGACCGACACUGACGCUGAGGAGCGAAAGCCAGGGGAGCCAAAGCGGG
rnacentral:rRNA from 1 species